rnacentral:misc_RNA from 1 species
AGGGUUCAUAAUAUAAACUCGUACGAGGGUCGCGCGACCCUUUUGGCUUUUUUUAUUAUACUUUCAACACAAUAUGCAUCAACAAAGAUAAAAAGGAAAUUAAACUUGGCAAAUUUACAUUUACUGCUGCCAUACUUCAAUCUGCAAACAUGGGAAAAAAAACAUAGCAUUUACAACGAAUGCGGUUUCAAAGCACCGUAAGUUCUUGGCGCUGGCGCAUUCUCAUUUUCGUUCUGUUGAUUCUGCUUAUAACUGCCAACGCUACAAGGAACAAAUCCCAAUGACUUUUCGUCAGGACAAGAUCUUGGCUUACAGAAAAAUGCAGCACAUUCCUCUGCUGAUCUUUGCAUUGGCAAGCCUGGAAUGCAAUUCAUCUUGAUAUCAAGUACUCUUUUCUCAAUUAACUUCUUGCAUUCCGGUCCAACUUCAUUGAAGUAAUUGUAACUCAACGUCAAAUUUUUCAAGUUACAGAGCUUGCACACUAGUUCAGGUACAGCUCCGUAGAACUGAUUUUGUGCCAAAUUAAGUAUCUCUAUCUUAGCUAAACAUCCGAAUGAAUGAGGUAUUUUUCCUGUUAGCUGAUUUUUGCUAACAUCGAAAACUGUGGCUUUACUUAAAAGCCCAAUUUCAUAAGGCAAGCAUCCUGUAAGCUGGUUGUUUAAGAACAGUACUUCACGUAAUGAUUUACAAGCUUGACCAAUGCUACGAGGAAUUGGACCGGUGAAUUUGUUGUUUGCUAAAGUUAAGUAAAGAACUGGUGUUGAUCCCAAGUUAUCAGGAAGUUUUUGGAUUAAAUUGUUGUUGUUGAUGAAUAAAACAUCGAGAUUUAACAUGAACAGUUGAGGGGAAACCAACCCGGAAAAUGAAUUGAACCUUAGGUCUAAGAAAUACAAUUUUUUGGCACCAAAAACAAUGUUAUUUGGAAAUUCACCAUUAUAUUUGUUGUUGCUAAGGUCUAACUCAUAGAGAUAACGAAGAUUCGCAAUUUUCUUGGGGAUUGUACCUUUAAAAUUGUUGGUGUUUGCGUGAAAGAUUGUUAUGUCUGGUAAUUCGUCAAUAAAGCCGUCAAUAGUAAGGUCAGGGCCAUCGAAUUUGUACUGAUUGAAGUCCACAGCAGCUAAUGCUUUAACCUUUAAGUCAGGAACCGUGGCACAACGAAAACCUUUGUACUUGUUGCAAACAUCAGAGCCAUUCCAUGUUUUUGUAAUACCUAAAGGGUCAUGUGUGAUUUUGGACUUCAGCUUUUGGAUGACAUGAUAGGCAAUCUCGACACGUUUACUUUCAAAGAGGAGUGAUGGUGGUGGAGGACAAGGAGGUUCUGGUGGCGGAGGAGGUGGUGGACAAUCUUGAUUAUCCGGUGGUGGUGGACUACCACCACCUCCGCCGAUAAUUAUCUCCAAAGCUUGUCUAGUUUGGCCAAGAGUUGGAGUAGCAAGGACUAGACAAUUUUGGAAAAAUAAUUGAAGGAUAAAAAUAAU